rnacentral:rRNA from 1 species
GUUUCCCGUAAGGCGCCGAAUGAGUCAUUAAAAAAUUAACAUCAUCCGAUCCCUAGUCGGCAUAGUUUAUGGUUAAGACUACGACGGUAUCUGAUCGUCUUCGAUCCCCUAACUUUCGUUCUUGAUUAAUGAAAACAUCCUUGGCAAAUGCUUUCGCAGUAGUUAGUCUUCAAUAAAUCCAAGAAUUUCACCUCUGACAAUUGAAUACUAAUGCCCCCAACUAUCCCUAUUAAUCAUUACGUCGAUCCUAGAAACCAACAAAAUAGAAUCAAACGUCCUAUUUCAUUAUUCCAUGCUAAUGUAUUCAAGCGCGAGCCUGCUUUAAACACUCUAAUUUUUUCAAAGUAACAGUCCUGAUUCCCCAAGACACCAAAUUAAUGACAUCGAGGUUCUUCAGAAGGUAGGAAUCGAUAAUGCCAGUACGUACCAAGGCACGACCAACAUAUUGAUCCCGAAAUUCAACUACGAGCUUUUUAACUGCAACAACUUUAAUAUACGCUAUUGGAGCUGGAAUUACCGCGGCUGCUGGCACCAGACUUGCCCUCCAA